AAACCAACAGGGAUUGCCUUAGUAGCGGCGAGUGAAGCGGCAAAAGCUCAAAUUUGAAAUCUGGCACCUUCGGUGUCCGAGUUGUAAUUUGAAGAUUGUAACCUUGGGGUUGGCUCUUGUCUAUGUUUCUUGGAACAGGACGUCACAGAGGGUGAGAAUCCCGUGCGAUGAGAUGCCCAAUCCUAUGUAAGGUGCUUUCGAAGAGUCGAGUUGUUUGGGAAUGCAGCUCUAAGUGGGUGGUAAAUUCCAUCUAAAGCUAAAUAUUGGCGAGAGACCGAUAGCGAACAAGUACAGUGAUGGAAAGAUGAAAAGAACUUUGAAAAGAGAGUGAAAAAGUACGUGAAAUUGUUGAAAGGGAAGGGUUUGAGAUCAGACUCGAUAUUUUGUGAGCCUUGCCUUCGUGGCGGGGUGACCCGCAGCUUAUCGGGUCAGCAUCGGUUUGGGCGGUAGGAUAAUGGCGUAGGAAUGUGACUUUGCUUCGGUGAAGUGUUAUAGCCUGCGUUGAUGCUGCCUGCCUAGACCGAGGACUGCGAUUUUAUCAAGGAUGCUGGCAUAAUGAUCCCAAACCGC
rnacentral:rRNA from 1 species